UUAUCACUCGAUUGAAUGGGGCGUUAUCAGCGGUUAUCAGCCCAUAGGUAUGGGCCAGGAGGGGCCUCCUGCGCCUACUAGUAGGCUCAGAAGGCCGUGAUCAUCCAUCCAAAUGGUUGAUCACCCACAAAUAUACAAGAGAAGACUCCAGAUUCAAUCCCAGAAUUCCUGCUCACCGGUAAUCGGAAGUCUACUGGACGAACGCGGCAACGUUGCGAUAUUUCCUGCUUAAUAUUUUCAGAUAUGGGAAAAGCACUUAAGAUGAGCACACGUUUCAGGAACGUUAAAAUUAAGUUGGUGAGGAGGUCUAUCGCUGGCCCUGCGAAGUUUUCUUACCUCAGGCAAGGUCUUCCCCAGCCCAGCUACAAACAGACCCACCCUUCAGACCCUUCUAUUACAUCUCAACCAGCUGAACCUGAUGAUGUGACACCAAGCUGUUCUGAGAGUGCAUACAGUAAGGCAAAGAAGAGAGAGCUUCAUGCCUGGGAUGCAGUCUAGGAUGAGAUGCUUAAGGUGUCGUUUGAAUGUUCAGCACAGAUCACUACCCAGUGUGCUGUCUGCCGAGAACAUGCUGAUUAUAGGUGCAUUGAGUGCAGCUCCACUGCAGUGUUCUGUGAGGUUUGCCUGAAGAGGAUUCACAGAAAUUUACUGCAUCUUCCUGAAAAGUGGAAUGUAAGAACAAUAGCAUACAGUCUUACAUUGCUAUUGCUAUACUUGCAUACAGACAGCAAACUCACAGUAAUGUCAACAGAUUCAUUCGAUACUUCGAAUUGUUUUAGCACUAUGCAGUAUCAACUGUUAGUGUCACAAGUUUGUUGUUUUAAAAACAUUAGAGCUAUCCAUCUUUCUUACAGAGUGUUUACUAUGAGCCAUCCUCCCUGGGGUUAUUCCUAUAUUUACCUGAAGCCCAUGGCACCCAUGCUGUGUACACAAAGGACAUGAAGAUCAUUGUCAGCACAGGACGGCUCUGCACCGUUACAGUCAACAUGUGUGCGUGUGAACCAGAAACCUGUACUCUGCUAAGAUAUGGGCUCUGACCAGACAGCCUUCUCCAUCCCUCUGCUAGAGCUUUCUGUUUCUCUGUCACUGGAGUGUCAGGUUUCUAUUGAGGGUUUUUGCAACACCCCAUAUCCCAUUUUAGGCAUCACCACUUCCGACAAAGAAGUUUGGUUGAUAUUUGCCCACAAUUAAAUGAUGGAACAAUAUGCCCAGCAUGUCCAAAGGUUGGUUAUAAUUCCAGCGUGGUUCUUGUUUGAUUAAAUUAAUGGCAUAGAAAUAAAAUCUGAAUUAAUAUCAAACUUAAAAGUUAAUUUGUGUAUGUAGUAUUGUAAUAGAAUAGUAAUAGUAUAAAUGUAUAAACCUGGUGCGGGUACAAAACCAGUGUUACUGUAAGUGUUUGUUUUCCAGGCGGAUGGAGAUAUGAUUGUCACAUUGGAUGCCAACUUUGGCCUUGUGAGGAAUCAAAGCUCUGGGACAAGUGCGGUUGAUCCAUUACACGGAACCCGCAUGCUUAGAGGAAUACCUGCUAUCACAUCUUGACAGCUCAAAGCCUCGAGGUGAAAACUUGUGAAAAAAGAUAACUAUUCCUCUCAUAAAUCUAUGUUUUCCUUAAAUAUUUAGGACUGCAGUAAGCUGCUCUCAUUCAAGGUAUUAUAAUAUAAUAUAAUAUAAUUACUUUACUGCGUUACUUGUGCAGACAUGUUGUUUUACUAGGUCUGAUCUAUUUUAAAGCUUAGGCACUGUAUUUAAGCAUACAUAUACACCACUAGUCUGUCUGUAUGAGUACAAAAUUAAAAAAUAAACUGUCUAUAAUUGUUACUGUACAAGCACAGUAAAAUAUUUAUAUAAAAAAUAUUGCACUACUGUUAUUUUGCAUAGAAUACAUUGUUCAACAAUAUUUUUGCACACUCAUCCAACUGCAUUUAUUACCACUGUUCUCACGUUCCUGCUGUUCAUAACAUAUAUAUAAUCCUUCAUUGCUCUGUUCAUAAUGUACAUACAAUCCCUACAUUGCAUUCAUAUUUAUAUUCUGUAUAUACUCUGAUCAAUAUUGUAUAUAGCAACUCCACUGUACAUUCUGUAUAUCAUAGCUUUACUUACUCUGCACUUUUAUGUAUAUAAAACACUAUAUUCUUGCUUUUCCGGUUAGAUGCUAACUGCAUUUCAUUAGCUCUGUACUUGUACUCUGCAUAAUGACAAUAAAGUUGAAUCUAAUCUAAUCUAAAAAAAAAAAAAAAAUGUGUUUACCAUAAUGUAAUAUGUUAUUUACUGUAAUGUACAAAUGUGUGGGAGGUGUUUUGUUUUUUGUGAGCUCACCAUCAAAAUCCCCUUCGACUGAGUUGAAAUGAAAAUAAAUUAUUGGAUCUUGAAUCCUCUGAAGCAA